CGUGGGUAACCUGCCCAAGAGAUCGGGAUAACACCUGGAAACAGAUGCUAAUACCGGAUAACAACAGAUGAUGCCUAUCAACUGUUUAAAAGAUGGUUCUGCUAUCACUCUUGGAUGGACCUGCGGUGCAUUAGCUAGUUGGUAGGGUAACGGCCUACCAAGGCGAUGAUGCAUAGCCGAGUUGAGAGACUGAUCGGCACAUUGGGACUGAGACACGGCCCAAACUCCUACGGGAGGCAGCAGGG
rnacentral:rRNA from 1 species